GUGACCCUGUUAAACGGCCGCGGUACCCUAACCGCGCGAAGGUAGCAUAAUCACUUGUUCUUUAAAUGAGGACUUGUAUCAACGGCAUCACGAGGGUUCCACUGUCUCCUUUUUCUAAUCAGUGAAACUAAUCUCCCCGUGAAGAAGCGGGGAUAAGCCUAUAAGACGAGAAGACCCCAUGGAGCUUUAAAUCCAGCUACACCCCCCCCCCCCCCAUACCCUAUCAGCAGCCAAGGCCCUGUAUGCUCAAUUUUAGGUUGGGGUGACCACGGAGCACAACAAAACCUCCAUGAUGAACGAAACUAUUUUCUUAUCUAAGAGCCACACCUCUAAGAAUUAGUACACUAACAUAAAAUGAUCCGAUAAACGAUCAACGAACUAAGUUACCCUGGGGAUAACAGCGCAAUCCAUUUCAAGAGUCCCUAUCGACAAAUGGGUUUACGACCUCGAUGUUGGAUCAGGAUGUCCCAGUGG
rnacentral:rRNA from 1 species